AUUGAACGCUGGCGGCAGGCUUAACACAUGCAAGUCGAGAGAGCGGCGGACGGGUGAGUAAUGUCUGGGAAACUGCCUGAUGGAGGGGGCUAACUACUGGAAACGGUAGCUAAUACCACAUACCAUCAAAUGUGCCCAGAUGGGAUUAGUGAGUAGGUGUGGUAAUGGCUCACCUAGGCGACGAUCCCUAGCUGGUCUGAGAGGACGACCCGCCACCCUGGAACUGUGACCCGUUCCAGACUGCUAAGGGAGUCAGCGUUGGGGAAUAGUGAACUAUGGGCGCAAUCCUGAUGCAGCCAUGCCGCGUGUGUGAAGAAGGCCUUCGGGUUGUAAAGCACUUUCAGCGAGGAUGCGGAACUCGCAGAAGAAGCACCGGCUAACUCCGUGCUAGCAGCCGCGGUAAUAC
rnacentral:rRNA from 1 species